CUUUCCUUGUUUCCAGUUCUUUCUAUGAUCCUCAUCGCAUCCCUGUGAGGGAAGAAAAUCAACCGCUAAAUCUGUCGUCGUUGUUGUGUUUUUUUUUUUAACUGUAAAUAUUUGUUACAUAUUAUUAUGUGUUGGUCGUAAACAUAACCUGCUUUUGUCCAGAAAUGGUGUGAAGUCUUCCAAUAGGAACCGGCGUGGAAACAUAGCAGCCACAGGGAGGUGCUGGAAAGGCAGAAAGACCAGGGAUGGAAGACGGAAGGUUCUCCUCUGUUUUAGGUUAAAACGUCUUCUUCUUUUUGCCCUGGAAGGUAGAAGCAACAACCUGCUGUCCUAAGCAGGUGUAUUUGUUGUUUGUUUGCUUGUUUGUCUUGUUUUAAGGAGUGAAUUCAGCACAGAAAAUUAGGAAUUAAGAACCAAAGUCACUGGUUUUGUUGCUGUGUUUAGUUUCUGAUUAUUUGUAUUGUGUUUCUAGGUUUUGUGGAAGACCUGUUGCCUUUUUUCAUUUUCUUUAUACAAAAGUGUUCCCAGGUUUGAUCUAAUGUCACCCUUUAAUCGCUCUUAUAUUUCCAUACACAAUUUGCCUUUUCUUAUCAUUUGGUUU